GUCGCUCCGGCUUCCCUCCAGGCGGCAGCGGAAGGUGGGAGCGACGACUGCAAAACGGCAGCGAUGGGCUCCCGCAACCUCCGGAGCUUGUGCGCGUACUUCAGGGACCGGCACCACGUCACCGUCACCUCCUGAGUAGUGAGUUCCCCUCUGAUGAAACCACUGAAAUAGAGACACAGACACACAAGGGAGAGUGCCAUAUGAAAAUGGAGGCAGAAUGGAGUGAUGCAUCUACAAGCCAAGGAACACCAAAAAUUGCCAGCAACUACUAGAAGCUAGAAGAGGCAAGAAAGGACUUUCUAGAGCCUUUGGAAAGCAUGAUUCUGCCACAUCUUGAUUUUGGACUUCCAGCCUCUAGAACUGUGAGAGAGUAAGUUUCCAUUGUUUUAAACCACCCAAUUUGUAUUAAUUUGUUAUAGAAGCCCUGGGAAACAAAUAAACUACUUUAGAUCAGUUAGGAAGGCUUCUUGAACUAUAUGACAUUUAAACAGAGACAUAAAUGAUGAGACUGUCCCAGCCAAGUUAAAAAUAUCACUGGGAAUCAAACUCACUGGUGUUAUUCCAGCUCAGUGGUAAAUGUUCUACUGGUAUUUUAAAUAAUUCUAAAAUAAAGUCAUUAUUUUUCUUUGCACUCCAAA
rnacentral:lncRNA from 1 species